CGAGAAUUUUCGGUGUUCGGUUUUGUCUUCUAAUUCUCUUUGCAUUUUGAGUUGACUGCUGUUGCAUUCAGAAGUGUUUUGCGUAUUAGUUGCGUAAAAAUGAAAUAUUAUAAGGUAAGUGGAACUUAUUUGCAUUCAAUUAUUAAUUUUAAUUGCAGAAUUGACGAUUAAAAUGGAUGCGACUUCAACUUAGACGGUGUGAAUGGGAUUCAGUACGGAUUUACAAAGUUUUUUUUAUCCAGUUUAAGUUGAUAAAACAAGUUUCUUAAAGGACCCAGCAGCCGGCAAAGGAGACUCGUGACACGCAUAUAUACAUGUUUAAUUUUGCAGAAAAAUGUAAUGCUACCAAAAAAGUGAAGAUAAAUAAAAAAAUGCAAUCCAUAAAUAAAUAAG